rnacentral:rRNA from 1 species
GCAUAUCAAUAAGCGGAGGAAAAGAAACCAACUGGGAUUGCCUUAGUAACGGCGAGUGAAGCGGCAAAAGCUCAAAUUUGAAAUCUGGUACCUUUGGUGCCCGAGUUGUAAUUUGUAGAGUACCACUUUGGGACUAUACUUUGCCUAUGUUCCCUUGGAACAGGACGUCAUGGAGGGUGAGAAUCCCGUGUGGCGAGGGUGUUAGUUCUUUGUAAAGGGUGCUCGAAGAGUCGAGUUGUUUGGGAAUGCAGCUCUAAGUGGGUGGUAAAUUCCAUCUAAAGCUAAAUACAGGCGAGAGACCGAUAGCGAACAAGUACAGUGAUGGAAAGAUGAAAAGAACUUUGAAAAGAGAGUGAAAAAGUACGUGAAAUUGUUGAAAGGGAAGGGCAUUUGAUCAGACAUGGUGUUUUGCGCCCCUCGCUCCUUGUGGGUGGGGGACUCUCGCAGCUCACUGGGCCAGCAUCAGUUUUUGCGGCAGGACAAAACCUUGGGAAUGUAGCUGUGCGCCUCGGUGUACAGUGUUAUAGCUCUUGGGAAUACUGCCAGCGGGGACUGAGGACUGCGAUACUUGUUAUCUAGGAUGCUGGCAUAAUGGUUAUAUGCCGCCCGUCUUGAAACACGGACC